UUGAACGCUGGCGGCAGGCCUAACACAUGCAGGUCGAGCGGAUGAAGGGAGCUUGCUCCUGGAUUCAGCGGCGGACGGGUGAGUAAUGCCUAGGAAUCUGCCUGUUAGUGGGGGAUAACGUCCGGAAACGGGCGCUAAUACCGCAUACGUCCUGAGGGAGGAAGUGGGGGAUCUUCGGACCUCACGCUAUCAGAUGAGCCUAGGUCGGAUUAGCUAGUUGGUGGGGUAAAGGCCUACCAAGGCGACGAUCCGUAACUGGUCUGAGAGGAUGAUCAGUCACACUGGAACUGAGACACGGUCCAGACUCCUACGGGAGGCAGCAGUGGGGAAUAUUGGACAAUGGGCGAAAGCCUGAUCCAGCCAUGCCGCGUGUGUGAAGAAGGUCUUCGGAUUGUAAAGCACUUUAAGUUGGGAGGAAGGGCAGUAAGUUAAUACCUUGCUGUUUUGACGUUACCAACAGAAUAAGCACCGGCUAACUUCGUG
rnacentral:rRNA from 1 species